GGGCUAGAGAAAAACACAGCAAUAGAAAAUUUAGGAAAUUACAAAAGGAGGAUAUGAAAUUAAUCCAAAUAUAUUUAUAUGGCUGAUAGGUUAUUUCUCUGCCAGUGAAAGGAACCAAUUCAAGCCAGAUUAGACUAUAUUAGAGGCAGGUUUAUCGGGAGUCUGCUCUCAGCCUCCAGAGGGAUGCAGCCACACCAACAGCUUCACCUCAGACCCCAUGGAACUCAUUUUGGACUUUGACCUCCAGCACUGUAAAGGAGAAUCACAUAACUUCAGCUUCACUAACAAUUGUGAUCAGGAUUGGAACUGACGCCAACAAGGUCUGCUCCAGCCGGGACCUCUUCCCACACAAUCUGUCUAAGAUUUGGAAGACUCUAGAUAACAAGGCUAGACAAACCUUGGUGAGCUCAGCAGCUCCUUCUGCUGUGACUCAGAAAAAAAAAAGUCCAGUGAU
rnacentral:lncRNA from 1 species